GUCGACGCAAAUAAAGCCAAGACGCAAUUUCUGCGGUAAACAACUGAGCCGCCAAACUUAGAACUUGGCAAUUUGCACAUUUUAAAGAAAAUAUAAUAAUACAACAGCAUACAUAUUUGUAUGUAGUAUAUUCGACAACUCGGAAGCAGUGCCGUCAUGACUAAUCCACGUACGAGUGCUAUGCUGGGUUCUUGGUCAGCUUUCAAAGUUCUCUAAAGUUCGAACGCCUCUCCACCGGAUAUUCGAGUGCUGAAUCAAUGCUAAGCAGACUCGCCUCGACUUGUUUCAAAUUCGAAUGCAAGUGAAUUUGCCUUCGACAAACCGAAAGUGAAAAAUUCAAUUUCAAAAGCAAAGCAUUUGAUUCGGGGUACGGGGCCAAUGCCUCUUGCCAAUGUACGAAGAGAAAACAAGUGAUAUUGGCCUUGAAUUCGCUAUAUAGCAUAUAGACGAAUACGUACGUACAAAUAUUUUAUAUUUAUAUGGAGCAGGUUGUAUUCACUAUUCGUGCAAUUUCGGCGGGGAGACGACGGCGAAAGAUACAUUUAUCGACUUCAUUUUAUCAGAUACCGCAGAUAUAUACUAUAAUAUAAUAAAUAUAGCACAGGA